AAACACUCCUGCGACAACCAUCCUCAUCACCAUGAAGGCUUCCGAAUUGCCCGCAAGCACAGCGUGGAGGUGUCCCCCUGCACCCUCACUGGACGUCAGCCCUACCAUCCUGCUCAUGGGUCCUGCCUGGGGAAAAGAGCUGUGGCCCCGCUGCCGUGCUUGGGGGGUUCUGGAUGUCUGGCUCUCCUGCAGAACAGGAUGGAUGCACAUCUCAGCCUGGGGAACAAGGAUGAAUGGCUCAAAUGCAGCCUGGAGAUGUGGUGCCAGCAGAAGGACACAGGAUGGGGAGUAUUUGUCCCUCUGGCAAUGUGACAUACACCAAGGAGGGGGUGGCCUGUGGGCUGGGCAUUUCUGCUGGUGGAGGAGGGAGGGAGGAGAGUUUCUGAGCUGGAAAGAGAGAAGGAUUUCUUUGCCUUGGCGCAUUUUGCUGCAGAAAGGCUGUUUCAGCUCCGAGGGUAAGGGAAAUGAAACAGAAAAAUACCUCCCAUUAAGCAAAAGGGAUGGAGAGCUCUGCGUAAUAGUGCUGUCUGCAGGGGUUUCUUGCUCCGAAUUUGCAUCCAGCACGGCCUUGUGCCAGCGCCUGGAGGAGGCGUGUGGCUGCAGGAGAUGGGGCUGGAGGGGACAAGCUGCUGGCCUCAUAGCUCUGGGGUGGGGACAGCUGCAACCCUCACCCACCCCAUGGAUGAUGGGCGGUGCCUGGGGAGAGGGCGGGCGGGCAGAUCCCUGUGAUCCCAUGGGCGCGUCCCACAGGGAGACUGGGAUCCCCAUGAUGUGGGCUGAGUGAGGGACAUAAGGAGCUGCUGGAGGGGGUUUGGUCAAUGCCCAUAGCUAGUGCUGAGAAUCUCCUGACCACUUGGACACGGGCAAUGCCAGUGCAUCCUCUUGCCCUGCCUGCAUCUGCAUGGCCCCGGGGAACAGGCCCAGCAGAGAUCCUGGCCCCGGCAGACACCCUGAGCCCAGGCAGGGCGUUCAUCAAGGAAUGCUCUUUCCUCCCCCUUUGCUGCUAGUUUUCUUAAAGCCCAAGUAGACGUGAUGACUGUGUGGUAGGAAGAACAACAUUUGCUCUGGAGCUUUCCUGAGCAAUUCAUCCUCCGAGAAAUUAAUUAUCAGCGCCAGCAUUGCAUAUAAUCAGCAUCAAUCCCUGCGUGCCAGGGGUCGGAGGCCAUCGCUGCCUCUGCCUCCAGCAGCUCUGGGUUCCUGAAGGCAGGGAGAUCUGUUGCUAUUGUUGGAAUAGGAGCUGGAAGCAUGGAGAGCAGAUCAGGCUGGGAGCCAAGCUGUGCAAACACCUCUGGGGCGGCAGCACCUUGCUAGCACUGCCCGGGGAGGGUGCCUGGGAUGUGACAGGGCAGCCCUGGUUUUGAGAGCAGCUCAGACACCCACAAGGGAGUCCCAGGGUGCCCAUUUGGCUGGGAGCAGGGUUAUAUCCUGCGAGAUGGUGGCCUGCAACCCGGUGCCCCAUCCUGCACUGGGGACAGCAAACCCACACGGGCAGCAUGCACGUGGGCACAUGUGUGUGUGCGGCACACCAGGAAGGUGGAUGUUGUAGUGUUUGUUUGAUGUGGGACACACAGGGGCAUCUGUUCCAGCAGAGCUGGCUCUGGCACGUGUCUGACAAAUGUUGUUUGGUUUGGUGGUGGAGCAUUAAUGUAAGUGGUGCCGGCUGCGGGCACAGGGAGAGGAGCGCCUGUCUGAAGGACUCUCUGGGGGAGAAAGAAGGAGGACAAAAGGGUGUUGACAUGGCUCUUGAUGGUGGCCAGAUGGCUUCUUGCAGGACCUUCAUCUCACUGCCUGACCGGGGACACCUGGAUCUCUGCAGCCAUCCCUGUGAGAUGGGUCUUGGGCCACUGGGAGAAGGGGAGAGCAAAACCAAAUGUCACCUGGAGAAGUUCCUGCUGCUGCACUCCCAGGGGCUGGAACUGCUGCCCCAGGAUGGGGAUUAGCACAUCACUGAGAAAGCCACCAUGGUUGAUGGUCCCCAGGGGGAUCAGAUAGAUGAUCAAUGCUGGGAUUAGCCUAUAUGGUGGCUGCAGUGACAGCAGUGACCUGGAGGAGCAGCUUCACCCUGCCUGUGCUUGCACUGAGCCAACACAUCCCCAUGGCCUCCAGACUGGUCCAUGCACUGAGCGGUGUCAGGCCUCUGCCAGCCCCAUGAGAGGCUCGGGGGCACUGACAGCAGACAGCAACUGCCACAGAUGUUCUGCAUUUUGGAUUUCUUCCCCUUCCAACCUCAUUAGUAUUGAAAUUAAAAGCAAGUGUUUGUGAAUUGGUAGCUGUUCUCCAAGACCCUAAUUAGCAAAUCUCUUCAUCCCCCAGGGCUGCAAUCUAAUAAUCAAAAAAACCCCAACACCCAAACAAGCCCCAAACCUUGUUUGAUGGAUCGGGAGUGCUACUGGAACAGUCAGAAGCGGCUCUUCCUGCUUAGUAUGGUAAUUAAACACUUCAGUUGCAA